UCUUGAUGGUAGUGUAUUGGACUACCAUGGCAGUCACGGGUAACGGAGAAUUAGGGUUCGAUUCCGGAGAGGGAGCCUGAGAAACGGCUACCACAUCUAAGGAAGGCAGCAGGCGCGUAAAUUACCCAAUCCUGACUCAGGGAGGUAGUGACAAGAAAUAACAACCCGGGGGGCUCGCGCCCUUACGGGAUUGCAAUGAGAACAAUUUAAAUCACUUAACGAGGAUCAAUUGGAGGGCAAGUCUGGUGCCAGCAGCCGCGGUAAUUCCAGCUCCAAUAGUGUAUAUUAAAGUUGUUGCAGUUAAAAAGCUCGUAGUUGAACUUCUGGCCGUGCACAGUUCGGUGUUUACGCCAGCUGUGUGCUGCCAUCCGUCUGCAAACUCUACACAACCUUGAGUGGCUUGGUGGGGGGAGUAGACAUUUUACUUUGAAAAAAUUAGAGUGUUUCAAGCAGGUUAUUGCCAGAAUACUUUAGCAUGGAAUAAUGGAAUAGGACUCUGUCCAUUUGGUUGGUUAUUGGACCAGAGUAAUGAUUAACAGGGACAGUUGGGGGCAUUAGUAUUUAAUUGUCAGAGGUGAAAUUCAUGGAUUUAUUAAAGACUAACUUAUGCGAAAGCAUUUGCCAAGGAUGUUUUCAUUAAUCAAGAACGAAAGUUAGGGGAUCAAAGACGAUCAGAUACCGUC
rnacentral:rRNA from 1 species